rnacentral:lncRNA from 1 species
AGUGCGCCCUGAACCUUCUCAGGUUCUCAGGUUGGGAGUGAAGGAUUAGUGGAGAUUGGUGGUUGGUGCUUACUGUUGGGUUUUGAGCAUUCUAACACUCCUAAGUGUACAUGCAACCCUAAAUACCUUGGAUCUAUGUUUUCUCUAUUAUACAUGCAAAUAAGAACUUCCAAGGUAUUAUCCUAAUCUAGCAUACAAAACAAUAACUAUAGCAAGAUAGAAUACAUACCUCUUUGGUGUAGAAAGUCUUCAUGAAGCUUGAGUGCCAAGUGCCCCAAGUGUGACACCUCAAAUGGUUCACACAACACCAAAUACACAUGGAUUAACUUGAGAGAAUUCUACACUUCAUGAAAAUCGGCUAGCCCUUUCUCACUCUCUCUAGUGGCCGAUUUUUCCUAAGAAUGUGAUCUUUAUAUAGUGUUACAAUUAGGGUAAACUCUUAAUUGUCAUGGCUUUCCAUUUCCUUGGAUCCAUGGGUUCAAAUACACCAUGGAGCAUCCAUGAACCAUCUUAUGGGUUUUAGCCCAACUUGAUUAUCCAUGGAGCAUAAGCCCACUAUACAAGUAUGGAUGAUUUACACAAUCAACCCAUAUAUUUAAUUAGUCUUCUUUUGAUCACUUAAUUAAUCCUAGAUUAAUUCUUGAUCAAUACUAAUUAAAUAAUCUCAUUAUUCUUAUUAUUAAUAUACUAGAACUUAUAAUAUAUUAAUAACCAUAAGUGUCUUAUUUCUCUCAUUUAGUCUAUCCAAGUGCAUGAUGCCAUGCAACCCAAAUGGACCAUGCCGGGUCGGGUCAAGUCUUACCAAUUAUAGUUAUGGACUUAGACAUUAAUCCAACAGUCUCCCACUUGGAUAAGUCUAAAACUAUUAUUGCGUAUGACUUCAGGAACCAACUGGCAAUCGUAGCUCUCAAAAGCUUCUGUCGAACUCUGACCUUGUAGAUGAACUCUGACCUUUGUCAAUGACUUGUCCAUUAGAUAAGGGAUCAUAUAUUCCUCCAUUCUAGAUAUCAUAUGGACUGAGACAUGGAUUAUAAUCAUUCUCUCUGUCCAUUUGUUGUUUCCCGAUUUCCGAUUUAUGACGACUGACUAAUUGAACAAAUCAAAUCAGUCCUGGCCCGGCCGAGCACUUCCAUUUGUCAUCAUCAAAUCAUCGAGGGGCCCACAGAUAUCGCUUUUAUCCCGAAGGUAAAAGGAAUGGAUAAACUUCGACUCAUAUGGCUUGUUCUACUACUUGUUGAAUCAUACACAAAGGCACGUUUUAUAGCACCGAGUUACCAAAUGCGUUUUCGUGCAAUCAAUGUACUAUCAACUCAUAGUAACAACUCAUAUCUCUAGGUUUGAAGAAUAUAAGAUAUUAUCGUCUCAUGAUCACUCGUGAUAAAAUCCAUGAAGUGAUUCCAAUGAGCGCGGGUUGAAUCCAAUACUCAGAACUUAUGAGCACUCAUGAGUGUUGUAGCCCUUUGUCCAACACCUUAGACCUCUACAAGCCAACCCAUGACAGUCUUAAUUCAUAUCUACUUCCAACAUAUGACCGACUGUGGAUGGUUUGAAUAACUUAGUCAUUCCGGAAGAAUAACCCAGUUUAUUCGGGAAGUCAAAACAUGCAAAAUGAAACACAAUAAUAAUUGAAUCCAAUAUGGUAUCAACCCUUUGAACAUAAAUAAAACACCUUUUAUUUAUCACCAUAUGAUUACACAUUAUUCAUUGUAUACUGUUUCAGCUAUCAACUUUAUUCUUGAAUUUAAAACAAUAGUUGUCCCAUGCUCCAAGCAUGUACACUAUGUUUUCUUAAACACUAGUCAUGCCACACACCAAGUAUGCAUACUAUGUUUGUCUAUGAUCUUUACUUUGUGAACUAGAUCAAUUGAACAUAACUUCAAUGAUUCUCUUUUCACACUCCCAAAUCCUUACUGCAAAUGCAAGAAUUCCAAAUUCAUGCCAUUUACUGAAAUCUGUUAGAUUCUAAACUUAUAUGCAUUGAUCCUCUUGUAAUGAUUAUGCACAAAGUCACAAAGACUUGGCAACAAUCAUUACAGAGUAUUCCAAAGGAGAUCAACUCCUUGGAAAUAUCCUUCUUGCAUUAAGUUUCCUUAAUCUUACACAGAUUGAAAAUUCUAACUUUGAAACAUUUCCAGAUUCCAUUUUGACUAUCACUUCUGAACAAGAGUUGCCUCCUUACAGAUUAUGUCAAUAUGGUCCUUCCAGAAUUAUCACUAUACUUCCAAUUGUCCUUGAGUAACCAAUCUUUGGUAAACCUUAGAUUGUCCUCGACAAUUGUUUAAUCCUUUUAGUCAUAUCCAGUUCUAAACCUUUUCCCUUCUUAAUGCCCCAGGCAUUUGGAAAAUUUUAGAACGGAUGAAUAUAGCACAUGUAAUCGAUCCUAUAUCCGAAGCAUAUGGGACACGAUUCAUGAUGUCUUACAUAAAGACUAAACCAGUCUUUUGCUAUAAUAUUUCCAUUUCAAUUUGCCAAGUUCUCAUAAUUCAGAUUAUGAAAAGGGAUGCCGUAAUCAUAAUCGAAUUUUAGAACGCAAAUAAUGGACCCAUAUACAGAAUUUCCUUAUGUUGAGCCAUUCCAACAUGAAAUUCAUAUAUAUCCUUGACUAAAUGAUUAAAACCUCACGAUCUAAGCUUAUAGAUUUGAGAUGAAGCAUAAUUUCCUCUCCCUUAAUUAUAGCAAAACAACUUUUUCCCAAUUGAAACUUUUGUUUUCUAUAAUUAACAUUGCUAACUUGCAAUACUUAUCAUAAUUAUCAUGCUCCCACUAACAUGAUGAUUAUUAGCAUAACACUUAUGCUCCCACUAGCUUUGACAUGUACUCAGAAAUCAGCUGGACAGUCUGAAAUUUAGAUUCAUACACCCUUUCCGUAGAUAGCUCACCUGUGUGUCUAAGCAAUUUCAAGAACCAUGAAAAGGGAUACCGUAAUCAUGGUCUCAAUUGCUUAGGCAUUUGCCAUUUCUCACAAGUCCAUGUUAGUGUGCCGGUUAACCACACGCGCUCCACUAACGACUUUUGAAAAUGCAAAUAACACAAUUGAUAUCUUCGUAAAAUCUACUUAGUGAAAGCGUUUCCUCACCAUCAUUUUCAUGAAUCGGAGAGAAACCUUAUGACACUUAGAUUUAUAUGGUGUAUGAGUUCCUACCCAUAUGAAUUUGUCAAACCAUAAUCACAAGACAAAGAUAAUGACAAAUCCAAAACCAUAUGGAUUGAACUCAAUCUUAACUUCUUGCCACCUGGCAGCUCAAGGGCCUGCCAUUGCUUCCAAGUUGUUAUGCAACAAACUGAGAACUCUAAGAACUCAUAUGCAAAGCCAACUUUAACUGGAAUGGGCACAGAUAUGUCAACACGAUAGGUUAUAAACCUCAAGUCGUGUGCUAGUGAAGAACUUUAGGUUUUAUUCUUGAUUAUUUCUUGAGACUUUCAAGACCUUUAAGACUCCCACUGUCCUCUUGACAUAUAAGACUCCCUUGUCAAACAUCCAAGAGAUAGUGCGGAUUCUAAUCAAGAAAAACACUUUACCCAAUUGGCCUAAGUUGGUCUUUGUUUUAUCCAAAACAUCACAACUUACCAAUUUCAAAUGUACAAGAGUAGAAAACUUUUACUCUUACAUUUGACAAGUGUUUUAAACCUUCUUUAAGACAUGUCACUCAAAUGACAAUCUUGGAGUAUGACUCUAAGACUUGUAUUGGAACGAAGUAUGACUCAUCUUCUUGAUUUAACCAUUUCAACAAUUCAAGUUCCUCUUCUUAGUCAUAAGAAUGCACUAAGAUUUCCUUAGAGAACUAAUUUUGAUAUGGUUUCUUAAUCAUUAAGAUGAUCACAAAACUGAUACUAAAGUACUCUCCCAUCUUUUCAGAUUUGAGAAACUUUUAUCCUUCUGCCUUAUUUGAUUCUUCUUAUCGAUCUUUAGUGGUGGACUUAAUCAGUGCACAAGAAUGUGUACUCGAUCCCUAAGUCCUUUACUUGACUCACACAUCCAUGUGAACAAGUAAUUAGUCUUAAUUUUCCAAAACUUGAAAGUUCUCAUUCAUCAUGCUAUACAACUUGCAUGAUUCCAAGUUCCGGUCCAAUUGAAACUUGGGUGAUGAGAAUCUUUCCUUAUUUGGUAAAUUUAGACAUUACCACAAAUGAAAGAAUCAAUUUCAUAUUUCCACUCUUGCUCUUAAUGGAAUCAUAUAAGCAACAAUUUUUCCUCAAAUGCCAUUGUAAGGAUAUUUUAAAAUAAAUAAAAAAAAAAAUUUUCUUUUAUUUUAAAACUUUGCGGAAAAACUUAUCCUUACAAUCCAUAUGAAAACUUGUUGUUAUCUAUUCCUAAGCAAUAUCUCAUAACUCCUAAGAAGUAGCUCAAGAAUCCGAUCUUCAAACUAUGCGAUAGAAAUCCAUCUACGCCAUCAGAUUCAGCAUAUUCUUUCUUUAAGUUUCUUCACUUUUCUUUGAUUCUUAAAACAUCACCAUGUGACCCAGUCACAUCAUGUAUCAAGAAUCUCAGAAUAGAAACUUAACAGAGUUAGAUAGUGGACUUUACCUGAAGUAGAGUCAAACUUAUUGACUUUAACAUCCUUAGGUAAAUUUGGCAGCUUCGCAACCAAUGCCCCUUCCUUUGGCAAUAUAAACAUAUGGACCCUUUGAUAAUGGUACACGAGACUAUCACAGACUUAGCUUUUCUCUUUACCAUUUGGUCAACCGAGUUGACUAUGGCCGAUCCCUUUCCAUUGGGAAGAGAAUGCUUUACUGGAUAUCCAAUGUCAUCAUUGUCAAUGUCCAUAAAGUUUUAGGAAGUUGAUCUUAGCAAAUAGAUAAGAUCAUUAAGGGUCUUGUCAUAGUCUGUUUCAUAGGUGUCCCAAAGGAACUCACUAUGUGACUUAGAAAGUGGUUGAACCACCAACUUUCUCAAGACUUUGACACCCAACUCUCCCGGCUUGUCAAUAUGUGACUACAUCUCCAAGAUGUGACCACACCUAGACCUUGCCUUGCCAAUAGGGCCUGAGUGACCUUAAACUUUUCAAGAACUUGUGGGUUAGGGAGAAUAAUUUGAAGAGGUGAAGAAGUAUGAUAUCCAUGGGACAUCAUCUUCAUUAGGAAACCUUGUUUCAAGAGAUUUGGGAAGAUCAUAGGUGUCUAAACCAGACAUCUUUUGGGAGAUAUUCAAGAUAGUUGAUUUAAAGUCCUUAAUAUGACACCCAAUAUGAAAUAUUAAGGCUAGGACCCAACAAACUAUUUUAUAACUUAGAAGAGGUAUGCCGUAAUCCAAGCUAUAAAAUAUUUGAAGGUAGGUGAAUGACGAUUCACCAAUUUCCACCAAGAUAAACGAAAUGUAUUAUUAGGUUUUAAUUGGUUUUGAAACUCCUAGAUCUUUGAGAUUCAUUGAACUUUUCAAAGGCAUGUUUCAAUCUCGAGUGUGCCCUUCAGGUUUUGUGACUGGGAUGCCGAGGAUCACAAAACAAGGUGUGAAGUAACCAUGCAAAUCACUUGGUACCCUUAAUAAAUUACCCCUCAAUCGAUGUGCCGGUUAACCACACACGCUCCAUCGAUACUAUGAUAAAUAUUAAGUCACCCUUUACCUACCUUGUUAAGUCCAAGUUAGUGUGCCGGUUAACCACACACGCUCCACUAACGACUUAGACAAAGUGUAAAGUGUAAUUUCAUGGAUUAGCACCUUAUUCACAUUUUUCCUAAGUAACUAAGAUUGGGUAUUAUUAAGAGUUUAGUUACUUAGUAUUAUCAUUAAUACUUUUAAUGAAGGGAGAAUUCUAGUCCUGUCAAACCCGUUCGGCUAACGACCCUCCACCAGUCAAGCAAGCGGUGGGUGAGAGUGGACACCCAUUAAGUUGCCAUUUUAUAGGCAACAACCUUAUACCCACCUUAUAGACCGGCUUCGUGAAUGAGGCGUACUAGCGGUAAGACUGACUUUACUCUUAUACAUAUAUAUAUUAUUAACUUAUAAUAUUAUAAAGUAUAAGGGUUGAAUUUUAACUUUUAAAAUUCUAAGGGCUAACUUGGAAUUAAAGUAUUCAUAAGUGAAAACUUUUCAAAUUCCAAAACUUGAGGGCAAGUUUUGAAACUAUUCAAAACUAAUUAAUUCCAUAACUUAUGUGUUUAAAGUAGUUUUAAUCCAAAAACUCUUCAAGUUCCAUAACUUGAGGACAAGUUAUGGAAGACUUUAAACUAAUAAAAGAACUAACUUUUUCUUUAUUUUAUAACUUAUGGAUUUAAUUAUGGUUACAUAUUUUUCUUUAAUGAAGUGACUCUUGAACUUCCAUAACUUGAGGACAAGUUAUGGAGUCAAAAAAAAUUAUUCAAUGACACAAGACUCUUCAUUUUGUAACCAUUGCCAACUUUUAUGAGUUUUAUGAGUCUUUAAUGUGACUCUUCAUGUAACUUGAGGACAAGUUACACAAACACAUUUUAUACUCAACUCUUAGAUUAAAAUGGAUUGAAAACAACUAUUUCAAUUAACAUUUCUAUUAAUCUAAGCAACUCAUAAGAACAAGAUAAUUCAAAUCAAACUUUUUCAUGUAAUUAGUCUAAACCUUAAACUAAUACAAAACAUGAAUCUAUUGACAAUUAUCUUUGAAAAUGGAUUAGCAUGAACAUUACCACAUCAAAAACAAGUUUAUAAGUUCAAAAACAACUUAGGGUAAUGUUCCUAGUCCAUUUCUAGCCAAAAAACUCGAAAAUAUGCUGUCUGGGGGUCCAACUCGUCGAGUGCAUGAACCAACUCGGCGAGUUGGAUCGAAUUCAUCACUUUUUAGGCAUGGACUCGUCGAGUCUCCUGAUGGACUCGCCGAGUCUGAUGGCCAGACAGCACCAAAUUCGUUUUUUCAGCUUCUAUUGCAGGUAUAACAAGAAAACAAGCCUAGGCUCUGAUACCACUGUUGGGUUUUGAGCAUUCUAACACUCCUAAGUGUACAUGCAACCCUAAAUACCUUGGAUCUAUGUUUUCUCUAUUAUACAUGCAAAUAAGAACUUCCAAGGUAUUAUCCUAAUCUAGCAUACAAAACAAUAACUAUAGCAAGAUAGAAUACAUACCUCUUUGGUGUAGAAAGUCUUCAUGAAGCUUGAGUGCCAAGUGCCCCAAGUGUGACACCUCAAAUGGUUCACACAACACCAAAUACACAUGGAUUAACUUGAGAGAAUUCUACACUUCAUGAAAAUCGGCUAGCCCUUUCUCACUCUCUCUAGUGGCCGAUUUUUCCCAAGAAUGUGAUCUUUAUAUAGUGUUACAAUUAGGGUAAACUCUUAAUUGUCAUGGCUUUCCAUUUCCUUGGAUCCAUGGGUUCAAAUACACCAUGGAGCAUCCAUGAACCAUCUUAUGGGUUUUAGCCCAACUUGAUUAUCCAUGGAGCAUAAGCCCACUAUACAAGUAUGGAUGAUUUACACAAUCAACCCAUAUAUUUAAUUAGUCUUCUUUUGAUCACUUAAUUAAUCCUAGAUUAAUUCUUGAUCAAUACUAAUUAAAUAAUCUCAUUAUUCUUAUUAUUAAUAUACUAGAACUUAUAAUAUAUUAAUAACCAUAAGUGUCUUAUUUCUCUCAUUUAGUCUAUCCAAGUGCAUGAUGCCAUGCAACCCAAAUGGACCAUGCCGGGUCGGGUCAAGUCUUACCAAUUAUAGUUAUGGACUUAGACAUUAAUCCAAC